rnacentral:rRNA from 1 species
ACGCUCGCGUGCCUGAGAAUGCAGUCGAACGAUUAAGACUUCCUUCGGGAAGUGCAUAAAGUGGCGCACGGGUGAGUAACACGUAAGUAAUCUACCCCCGAGUGGGGAAUAACGUUCGGAAACGGACGCUAAUACCGCAUAACGCAGCGGCACCGCAAGGUGACAGUUGUUAAAGGAGCAAUCCGCUUGAGGAGGAGCUUGCGGCAGAUUAGCUAGUUGGUAGGGUAAUGGCUUACCAAGGCUACGAUCUGUAUCCGGUCUAAGAGGACGGUCGGACACACUGACACUGAAUAACGGGUCAGACUCCUACGGGAGGCAGCAGUCGGGAAUUUUGGGCAAUGGGCGAAAGCCUGACCCAGCAACGCCGCGUGAAGGAUGAAGUAUUUCGGUAUGUAAACUUCGAAAGAAUAGGAAGAAUAAAUGACGGUACUAUUUAUAAGCUCCGGCUAACUACGUGCCAGCAGCCGCGGUAAUACGUAGGGAGCAAGCGUUGUUCGGAUUUACUGGGCGUAAAGGGCGCGUAGGCGGCCGCGGUAAGUCACUUGUGAAAUCUCUGAGCUUAACUCAGACGGCCAAGUGAUACUGCAGUGCUAGAGUGCAGAAAGGGCAAUCGGAAUUCUUGGUGUAGCGGUGAAAUGCGUAGAUAUCAAGAGGAACACCUGAGGCGAAGGCGGGUUUGCUAGGCUGACACUGACGCUGAGGCGCGAAAGCCAGGGGAGCAAACGGGAUUAGAUACCCCGGUAGUCCUGCCCUAAACGAUGAAUACUUGUGUCUGGAGUUUCAAUACUCCGGGUGCCGUCGCUAACGUUUUAAGUAUUCCGCCUGGG